rnacentral:tRNA from 1 species
AGUAAAGUAAGCUAAAUUAAGCUUUUGGGCCCAUACCCCAACCACGUCGGUUAAAAUCCCUCCUUUACUA